rnacentral:rRNA from 1 species
UACGGGGGGGGCAAGCGUUGUUCGGAAUUACUGGGCGUAAAGGGCUCGUAGGUGGCCAACUAAGUCAGACGUGAAAUCCCUCGGCUUAACCGGGGAACUGCGUCUGAUACUGGAUGGCUUGAGUUUGGGAGAGGGACGCGGAAUUCCAGGUGUAGCGGUGAAAUGCGUAGAUAUCAGGAGGAACACCCGUGGCGAAAGCGGCUCUCUGGGACGGUACUGACGCUGAGACGCGAAAGCGUGGGGAGCAAACAGG